UACAGAGGGGGGCAAGCGUUGUUCGGAAUUACUGGGCGUAAAGGGCUCGUAGGCGGCCAACUAAGUCAUACGUGAAAUCCCUCAGCUUAACUGGGGAACUGCGUGUGAUACUGGAUGGCUUGGAUUUGGGAGAGGGAUGCGGAAUUCCAGGUGUAGCGGUGAAAUGCGUAGAUAUCUGGAGGAACACCGGUGGCGAAGGCGGCAUCCUGGACCAAUAUUGACGCUGAGGAGCGAAAGCUAGGGGAGCAAACGGG
rnacentral:rRNA from 1 species